UCGGCUUCCUACGGGAGGCAGCAGUGGGGAAUAUUGCACAAUGGGCGAAAGCCUGAUGCAGCGACGCCGCGUGGAGGAUGAAGGUUUUCGAAUUGUAAACUCCUGUUAAGUGGGAAGAAAGACGCGUGGUUAAUAUCCGCGCGGGAUGACGGUACCACUAGAGAAAGCUCCGGCUAACUUCGUGCCAGCAGCCGCGGUAAUA
rnacentral:rRNA from 1 species